GCUUAAUAUAUUUACAUCUCACAUUAGCACUUUGCCUGUAUUACCUCCAUUUUAUAGAUGAAAGGCAAGUGAGAAGAAACUUGCCUACGUUUACAUACCUAAGAAGCAGCAGAGCUGGGAUUCAGGUCCAGGCACUGGAGCUCAUCACCAUUUCAGAGUACUGUAGUUUGGUUACAUUGUUUCCCAUCUUGAAGGUCUUGGCUUCUUCCAGAUUGCCUGCUAAUGUUGUAGUUGUCCAGCCAAGAGUCCAAAGAGCCAGAAAACAGGGAGAGACACCAGUGGUUUAUCCGAUGGGGAAUCUUACAGGGCUGAAACCAAAGGGCCCAGCAACAACACUGAUGGCUGACGCUAUUGAGGGGGAGGAGUCUACCAUUGAUAGGGGGAAUUGACUUCC
ensembl:lncRNA